AUUUGGGAUAUUUCCAAAUGUUUACUUUUAAUUCAUUAGCAUAUGCAUAUCCUCUGUUUUUUUAAUUCAUUGUUGCCUCCUGUUUAUUGUUUAUGUUUGCCUUCUGGUGCUUCUGGUGUAUGGGCAAAACAAGUCUGAGUACAAAGUGGUGAAUUGCAUUUCACAUGCCAAUAUAAACAAAGAAUAAAAAAGAAAACAUGGUAUUCUCUAACACAAGAGCAUGAUACCUUGGGUCCAUUGGUGCAGACCAAGAGCAAAAAACUACCUAUGCUGCAAUAGCUUCAGUGGAAGUACAGUCAGGAUAGGGAGGCAGAAGAGAGGACAUGUUGAAGAAUCAAGGGGGACAACCACUAUUCAGUUUUUCUUUGUUAUUGCAUUACAGGAUUGUAGGGUGUUUAGAUUUUAAAUGCUGGCAUUGAUCGAGCUGUUAACUGGUUUUUAGUUCUGAUUAGAUGCGAAUCAUGUUUUAAUUAUGAUGAGAUGCAGAAAUUGUUGAGACAGGGCAUGAAUGAUCCAGAUCCAUUUAUCUAAUGAGAGGUGUAUCAGAGAAAUAAAAAAUAUAUUGAACUACAGUUCGUGACUUUAUGCGAAGAAUUCUAAGGGAGCAAGUCAUUUUACUGGGGCUAAUAAACCCAUACCCCGCAUCUCGUCUGCCCCGGGUGCGGAGGCGAGCUUCCCGGCGAUGGCGGCAGCGCUGGAUUCGAUCUGCAGGAGAGACAGGGAGGUGCGGCUUCAAAUGGGAGAGGGUCUUGAGACAGCUUCACAAGUAUUUAUGAUGAUCAUUUGCAUGGUGGGUCGUGCUAGCAAUGUGCUUUGCAUAUACAUGAUUCAAAUAUUUGUUAGGUGUUUUAGUUUACACAUUUCUCCUGAAAAUCUGUAUAUGUGUAUGCAGCCAUUUUUUAAUUGGCUAUGAUUCUUUUUAGUAUUUUAGUUUACACAUUUCUCUUGAGAAUCUUCAUAUCGAACUGUAAUAGUAUGUAUAAUAUAGGUUUGUAUUUUUCC